rnacentral:lncRNA from 1 species
UGUUCCCUAAUCUUGGAAUACUGGCCCCAACUUAAUUUGGGAUUCCAAUACAGAGGAAAGUUCACCAUAGCUUCAUCCAGAAAGAGGCAUCACAAUACACUUCUGAAAAAAAUAAUUAACCUCACUGGUAAGUCACUGU